rnacentral:lncRNA from 1 species
GAUUUGACCAUUGCCUCGCAGAGGGCCGAUAACAGAAAAAUAAAACCUGGAUUUGACCAUUGCCUCGCAGAGGGCCAAACUCGCAGAACAGAAAUUUAAAUCCGACCAUUGCCUCGCAGAGGGCCAAUAACAAAAAAAUAAAGUCUGGAUUUGACCAUUGCCUCGCAGAGGGCCGAUAACAGAAAGAAAAACUUGCUUGAGGUGCCAGGCGAGCUGGGCUUUGGGUGCCAGACAAAACUGGGCUUAUGGGCCAGGCGAGUUGGGC